GCUCAAUGAUUUUUUAAAUUGCUGUAGUAUUUUGACUAUACAAAGGUAUUGUAAUAAGGUUUUAAAUGGAUGCUAAGAGAAUGAUCGGACAAAGAUUUUCUUUCUUAGGGAAAAUAUUGGAAGUUGGUUUUUAAGUGAAAAAACUUAAAUUUUAUUUUGGGACAAGAAGACCCUAUGAAUUUUUAUUAAAUUUUAACUUGUUGAAGGUUUAAUUUUAGUUUGGUUGGGGCGAUUUUUAAAGAUUGAGAAUCUUUAAAAUUAAAAAUUGAUCCAUUUUUAGUGAUUUUAUGAAAAAAAUACUCUAGGGAUAACAGCGUUAUUAUUUUGGAUAGUUCAUAUUGAUAAAAUUGAUUGCGACCUCGAUGUUGGAUUAGGAUACUUUUAUAAUGAAGAUGUUAUAAAAAGGAGUUUGCUCAACUUUUAAUAUCCUACUUGAUCUGAGUUCAGACCGGUC
rnacentral:rRNA from 1 species